rnacentral:lncRNA from 1 species
UUUUCUAGGGUGUGGUGAGCGCCCAAAAAGCCUCCCAUGCUUUUAAGAAUACAAUGACACUUGAUCCAUGAGAGGUGGGUGGGGUCGAGAACUCACCUUGGGCUUAUUCUCUCUUGUAGAAGGACAGGGAUUGCAAACUCUUUGAUGGUUAUGGCUGUGAAGGCUGGCUCUGGCGCUAAAUGGCAUCCACAAACCCAAAUGAAGACGUCUCAACACACAAAAAUCCAGAUUGUUGGGGUUGGGGGCCAAAUUAGCAGCUGCCAGCCUGAUGCUGAACAUGAAUCUCUGCAGGAAGGAGUGCAAUUGCUGCGAUUGCCACUGAUCUGGCAAGCAAGCGUUAGCUCAAUUACGGCAGGGCAUCUACGGUGAGUUAAAAAGAACGGGCAUGGAGGCAAGACAUCAAUAGUGACACAUGUUAGAUGCCUGUUUUGCCUCACUUGGAGCCAAUGAGCACUGGAGCUGUGGUGGUCUCCCACUAGCCAGUGCAAACAUCAGAAAAAUUUCUCAUGCAACCAUGGCUACCAACCCUGGCCCAGGCCUGGGAUCCAAUGGCCGGCAGCGCUAUCACUUUAUAAAUAUAAAUAUAAAUAAAU